rnacentral:tRNA from 9 species
GCGCCCGUAGCUCAGCUGGAUAGAGUACCUGACUACGAAUCAGGUGGUCGGAGGUUCGAAUCCUCCCGGGCGCACCA